CUUUCUCAAGAACUUAUGAGUAAGGAAAAUAACGACCCGGGGUGACACCCAGGUCUUCACUGCCGAUGUGAGACGAAUUUUUGCACAGGUAAAGGUCGCCCGCCGGGUGACCCACCUACUUUGCGGGAUGCCUUUGGGGCGCGAUCUGCCCG